rnacentral:rRNA from 1 species
UAUGUCAAAACGACUCUCGGCAACGGAUAUCUCGGCUCUCGCAUCGAUGAAGAACGUAGCGAAAUGCGAUACUUGGUGUGAAUUGCAGAAUCCCGUGAACCAUCGAGUCUUUGAACGCAAGUUGCGCCCGAAGCCGUCAGGCCGWGGGCACGCCUGCCUGGGCGUCACA